GGACUAAAUUGUACCUUAGCUUGAAUGAGGGAUUAAGACCAAAAUCGCUCCAAAGUAUAAGGAGUAAAAACAUAUUUAACCCAAUAUAUUAUAAUUGAAUAGCCAUCACCAAACACUGGUAAUAGAUGGUUUGAUACAUUAGUAUGGAUCACUUUUGCGAGUCACGUUAGAACAAGUAUGGUUACCUGUGUUCUUGGUGAUUGCGAUUGGCCGGUGGGACAAAAGAGAAACUAAAAUUUGUACGGUAUUGAUACUAAUCAAUUGAACCUGCUAAGGUUGUGGCCUUAGACGGAAGAAGGGACGUUGUAGCUGUUGUGAGUUCAAGUGCAGCAAAACUAUAUAGUCUCUCUACAUUCUUCUGUUAACAAACUAAAUUAUUUAAAGUUCUUAUAGUAUAGGAAUCUGAUAUUGGAAGUGGUGUGUCAUCUUUAAAUGUUACAAGAGAAUCAAAUGGAGGAAGCACAACAUAUUAAUUGUGUUUUUUUAUGUAUAUUUUAAUGAAAAUCCAAACUAUCAAUUCUUUGUA